rnacentral:misc_RNA from 1 species
GAAAACUCCAGAAAGUCAUCACAAUCAAGGCUUCUAUGUUUUGUUGUAACAGCUAUUGCAAAGCUUGCCACAUAUCACCGUGAAUUAUUACCAAGGGCACGUGUAUCCUUGGGCAAGGUAGCUCGAUCUCGAAUAUCAGAUGCGAGGGUCUGGAGGCGAGCUCAUGAUUAUUUGGGAUUAUUGAGUGAACCUGCUAUUUCUUUGUCUGUAUUUGGGCCUUCAAGACCUCCACAUGGACGCAAGCAGAAUCCAGGCACCAUUAACUGGAGUGAAGGAGGCACAAAGAUGAUUGCACAUAUUCCAUUUUACAUUCUUGGUGAACAACAAGGUCCACCUUUCCACAAUUUUUCCUUUUCAGAUGUUUUUCCAAGAAGAUGAUGGCUG